UCGAACGGGGGUGAGGGGCAACUCUCACCUCAGUGGCGAACGGGUGAGUAAUGCAUCGGAACGUAUCCGCAAGUGGGGGACAACCCGGCGAAAGCCGGGCUAAUACCGCAUAUUGCUCGCAAGAGGAAAGUGGGGGACCUGAGAGGGCCUCACGCUUACGGGGCGGCCGAUGUCCGAUUAGCUAGUUGGCGGGGUAAAGGCCCACCAAGGCUACGAUCGGUAGCUGGUCUGAGAGGAUGAUCAGCCACACUGGGACUGAGACACGACCCAGACUCCUACGGGAGGCAGCAGUGGGGAAUUUUGGACAAUGGGCGCAAGCCUGAUCCAGCCAUGCCGCGUGCGGGAAGAAGGCCUUCGGGUUGUAAACCGCUUUUAGCCGGGAAGAAAAGGUCACGGACAACACCCGUGAUUCUUGACGGUACCGGCGGAAUAAGCACCGGCUAACUACGUGCCAGCAGCCGCGGUAAUACGUAGGGUGCGAGCGUUAAUCGGAAUUACUGGGCGUAAAGCGUGCGCAGGCGGUUCGUUAAGUUCGUUGUGAAAGCCCCGGGCUCAACCUGGGAACGGCAAUGGAAACUGGCGGGCUAGAGUCUGGCAGAGGGGGGUGGAAUUCCACGUGUAGCAGUGAAAUGCGUAGAGAUGUGGAGGAACACCGAUGGCGAAGGCAACCCCCUGGGCUAAGACUGACGCUCAGGCACGAAAGCGUGGGGAGCAAACAGGAUUAGAUACCCUGGUAGUCCACGCCCUAAACGAUGAGCACUGGGUGUUGGGGGAAGCGAUUUCCUA
rnacentral:rRNA from 1 species